rnacentral:rRNA from 1 species
UACGUAGGGGGCGAGCGUUGUCCGGAGUUACUGGGCGUAAAGCGCUUGUAGGCGAUCCACCAAGUUUGGGGUGACAGUUGCCGACUUAAUCGGCAAAGUGCCUCAAAGACUGGCGGACUUGAGGGCUUCAGAGGGACACGGAAUUCCGGGUGGAGUGGUGAAAUGCGUAGAGAUCCGGAGGAACACCAAAGGCGAAGGCAGUGUCCUGGGGAGUACCUGACGCUCAGGUGCGAAAGCCAGGGGAGCGAACGGG